rnacentral:rRNA from 1 species
GGCUUUUAGGGGAAAAUUUAAGGUCUGGUCUGCUCGAUGAUUAUAUUAAAUGGCUGCAGUAUUUUAACUGUACUAAGGUAGCAUAAUAAAUAGUUUAUUAAUUGUGAACUUGAAUGAAUGAUUUGAUAAAAUAUUAACUGUUUCUUUUUAAUAAGUAAAACUUGAAUUUUAAGUGAAAAUGCUUAGAUGUUUUUAGGGGACGAGAAGACCCUAUAGAUUUUUAUAUUUAAAUUGAGUUUAUAGAUUUCUUUUAUUUGAGGAAUUUGGUUUAAAUAUUUUGAUGGGGAAUUAUAAAAAUAAAUUAAUUUUUUAUAUUAUUAGCAUAGGGUAGAUGAGAGGAAAUAUUUAAUAAUAGAUUAUUAAUAAAGAUAAAAAUACCUUAGGGAUAACAGCAUAAUAAUUUUUUUAAGAUCAAAUUUUAAAAAUUGAUUGUGACCUCGAUGUUGAAUUAAAAUUUAGUAAGUAUGAAGAAGUAUUUAAUUUUAGUCUGUUCGACUAUUAAAAUUUUACAU